rnacentral:rRNA from 1 species
AAUAAAAUUAAUUUAUCAAUUAUAUUUAUUCUUUAGAAAAAUAGUAUUCCUUAAGCCAAUCCUUUCGUACUAAGCCUAAGAAUAGAAAUUGAGGAUAGAAACUGACCUGGCUCACGCCGGUCUGAACUCAGAUCAUGUAGAAUUUUUAUGGUCGAACAGACCAACCCUUAAAGACUCCUGCACCUUUAGGAUAUUCUAGUCCAACAUCGAGGUCACAACCCCCUCUUUCGAUUAGGUCUCUCAAGAGAGAUUAUGCUGUUAUCCCUGCGGUAACUAAUUUCUUUAAUCAGAUUAGAACUGGAUCUAAACUUGUUAGCUUUUUUUAAUUAAGAAGCUUUUUUUGUUCCUUAGUCGCCCCAACUAAAAAGUUUAAUAGAUUGUUUAUUUAAAAAUAUAUUAACUUCUAUAUAUUCUUUUAAGCUCGACAGGGUCUUCUUGUCCUUCAAUAGUAUUUAGGCUUCUUCACCUAAAAAUCAAAUUCUAGGAAGUAAGGAGGAGACAGAUCUGUUUUCGUCAAACCAUUCAUACUAGCCUUCAAUUAUAAGGCAAAUGAUUAUGCUACCUUUGCACGGUCAGAGUACCGCGGCCGUUAAAAUUUUCACUGGGCAGGCUCGACUCUUCAUAAAAAUAUGUCGAAGAGCCAUGUUUUUGAUAAACAGGCGAAACAGAUUUUUGCCGAGUUCCUUCUAUAUAUUUUACUUCUAGGAUAAUAAGAUUUUAAGAAAACUUUUUAUAAUUUUUUCAAAAUGUCUUUUAAUAUAAUACUCAUCUUAGCAUAAGUAUUCAACUUAAUAAAUUUUAGUAUGAUACUCCGCUAUUCAUACUGGAAACUUUAAUAUAUGGAUUUUCUUAAGUUUCUAAACUAUUUUAUAACAAACUUUUUAUGGUAGCCAAUCUUAAGCCUACAUUAAAGAUAGUUAGUUUAUGCUCUUUCUCAGAACCCCACCCAAGCUUAUCCUUAGGGGAGUGAAAGUUAAGAAAUAAUUAAAGAUUUUAAAUGUCUUUAAUUAAUACUUACUUCAAUACUUUUAUAUUUUUUAGGGAGAACUAGCUAUCACUAAUGCGAAUGAAAUUUCAUCUCUAUUUUUAUUUAUUUCUUAGGUUUUGCUACAUCUAAAGAUCAGAGGCCCUAAUAGGUCAAGAUAAAAAUAGCUCAUUAGAUUUCGAGAAGUUAGUAUUUCUAAUUUAUUCUUGCUAAGUCGUGAUACAAAAAGUACGCCAAUUAAGCUGCUUUUUUCAAUUUACAUCUUCCCUUACGGUACUUAAAUUUAAUUAAUAAAACUUUUUUCACCGUUACUGUAUUUUUUGAUGCUUCAAUAAAUAUUAAAAUAAAGUUAUUUAUACAUAAUUAAAGUAAUAUCU